rnacentral:snoRNA from 13 species
GUGAAUGAUGAAUUUAAUUCUUUGGUCCGUGUUUAUGAUGGGAAGUAAGACCCCCGAUAUGAGUGACAAAAGAGAUGUGGUUGACUAU